GCCUCGGUGGCGUAGUGGUGAUAGUAGCACGCGUCCCAAGUAUGGAUGAAACGCGGGUUCGAUUCCCGUCUGAGGCC